rnacentral:rRNA from 1 species
UACGGGGGGGGCAAGCGUUGUUCGGAAUUACUGGGCGUAAAGGGCUCGUAGGUGGCCAACUAAGUCAGACGUGAAAUCCCUCGGCUUAACCGGGGAACUGCGUCUGAUACUGGAUGGCUUGAGUUCGGGAGAGGGAUGCGGAAUUCCAGGUGUAGCGGUGAAAUGCGUAGAUAUCUGGAGGAACACCGAUGGCGAAGGCGGCAUCCUGGACCGACACUGACACUGAGGAGCGAAAGCCAGGGGAGCAAACGGG